rnacentral:rRNA from 1 species
GACGAACGCUGGCGGCGUGCUUAACACAUGCAAGUCGAACGCAGUGGCGAACGGGUGAGUAACGCGUAAUCAACCUGCCCUUCAGCCGCGGACAACAGUUGGAAACGACUGCUAAUACCGUAUUCUGAAGGUGGGGAUUGCGUCUGAUUAGCUAGUUGGAGGGGUAACGGCCCACCAAGGCGAUGAUCAGUAGCCGGACUGAGAGGAUGAACGGCCACAUUGGGACUGAGACACGGCCCAGACUCCUACGGGAGGCAGCAGUGGGGAAUCUUCCGGAAUGGAAGAAAGUCUGACGGAGCAACGCCGCGGGAGUGAUGACGGCCUUCGGGUUGUAAAGAUCUGUUAAUCGGGACGCGGUACCGGAAUAGAAAGCCACGGCUAACUACGUGCCAGCAGCCGCGGUAAUAC